rnacentral:lncRNA from 1 species
CAUUAAUUGAUGCUUACUUAUAUUUGUGACUAAUCACAAAAUAAAAAGAUAAAUAUAGUUUCUUUCACUGAAGAUUAGAGAGUAGAUGUUCCUCAUCCUAAUCAGACACAUCUGAAUUAAGUACAGAAGGAAAUCUACUGAUCCGUUCCAUCUGGUAAGCAAACCUGCACUCAUUUAAACAAUUUGCUGUUAUCUUCUAUGAGUGUUUUUCAUGACCAGGAAAACACAUUCCUAUCCUGGUGAUUUGAUAUAGGAAAAUUGUUAUAUUUGAUCUUUGUUUAAAUCAGAAGAAAUGCUGCAAAAGUAGACAUCAGAAAAGAGAAAGAAGGAAAGUCAGUAGGUUGGUUCAGCUAUGUUAUUCCCCUCAACAAAUAUCCAAAAUUUUUACUUCAAGUGACAAUUACUUAUGGACAUCACAGUGGUUAUUUGGCUCAUAAUUAGCCAAUUCAGAACCUUUUUCUGGUUGCUUAGGUUUGAAUAGUGACUGAGAAGCAGCAGGCUAUAGUUCUUUUCCUCUGAAGAAUUUAGCAUGAGAUUUUUCUCUUCCAACAUAAGAGCAUUCAGAAUGAAGUGUCUGUUGUAUUCAUACCCAGUUUUGAAACCAAUAUCUCCUCUGAGACCCAAACCACAGAGUGCUUUAUGAUAUCUGCACGCAGAUCCUGACAGGCUGCUGAAAAUGUCUCCAUUUCACGCUGUUAUUUGAGCCUCGUGACGUGCUACUUAAACUUGCAAAAAUAUCCUUACUUACUCAAAUAGUAUGAUGGAUGUGAAUGGGGUUACAGGGGAAACAGAAAAAGCUGGAGGGGAACCUUGACAAUAUUGGAAGAGGUUUGAUGUGCCUAGUCUUGUCUUUAUCGGAACAAACUGGUGUGGAUUAUGUCACCUGUCGUGGUGACAGGAGUGCAAUGAUAAUGCUUCCCCAGUUACAAAGUUUCCCUGAAUCUACCUUACAGCUACUUACAGCUGUAAUCUGUAAGAAAUAUACCUUAUGAAAUCUACCUUAUGUUUCUAUGUACAGCUAGGAAUGAGAUUAUGAAUGAUAUGAAUUCCACAACACUUUGUGUUAUAUCUUAUUUUGAAGUAUUAUCACGUUUCUACGUUUCCUCUGUGGGUGAUAGUAAAAAAAAAAAAAAAAAAAAAAAAAAAAGAAAGCAGAUGCAACAGAUGCAAUGACUUUGUGCGUGUGUAAAAAAUGUAGCAUUAAAAAAAAAAAAAGUCAUAAGCAAAAUUAUCAUUUAAUAAAAUAAAUGUUAAAAUUGAUUAGCUUAACCA